GGGAAAACUGAGAUUUUGUCGGGUUAUGUCGGGGUGCCUCUCUUAUCUCGGGUUUUACUUACUCUCCCACGGUGUUGAGGAACAGAGGCAAAGUAGUGGUAUUCCGAUGGUCUUGCAUGGUGUGGCCCCCUUAUGCUGACAAAGCCCGGAUUUUAAACACAUUGUUCUGAAGAUCUCCCCAAAACCAGCCAAAGGAUGGAAGCAAUACCCAGCACGAAAGAAUAUUUUCACAAGAUUGCAGAGUGGUGGGAGAAGUCAUGUGUGACAUCAGACAUCAAAGCUGACUAGAAGCAAGAAUGCCAAAGAGGCCGACAACAUAUCAAGUCACUAGCCAUCCAAGUUCCAGACCAGAUCGCAGGCCAGACCAGACCAGCAUCUGAAAGGAAUGAACUUAAAUAGACAUGCGAGUUGGAGGCCAGGAGUGGAGGUCCAACCUACCACUUCAAGUCAAAUGGAAGAAAGUAACACUCUUGGAACUCCAAGACCUUGUUUUCAGACCUGUGAGCAACGUGUCCCACCAAACUCUACAGACCUCAAAGUUGUCCUUAACCAGGGACAGAAUUUUAAGCAAACCAUGUGGUGUGUGUUCGAGACGGUCUUCACACCAGACUUGGCAACCCAAACCAACUGAACUGGUGCGGGAGGGGGCAGAAGACUGUCAUCUGGUCAAUGCCACUGAAGGAUGCUGUUAUGUGUUCUGUUCUUAAAAACCCAAGUUUGCCAGUAAUUACUGAGGUCGCGGUUGAAAGGGCGGAGACGGCUGGAGGGAAAUACCUACUGAAGAAGAGGACGAUUAAUUUGUAGCUUAUAUAAUGCACAAUUGUUUGGUGUUUUUGUUUAGGCUUCUUUAAUUUUUUCUCUGUUUGUUAAAUUGUAUAUCUUGUAAAUAAAGUUCAUACCUUAGUCUUUUUCUUGUCUCUUCACUUUACUUAAGC
ensembl:lncRNA